rnacentral:pre_miRNA from 1 species
CCUUAUCACUUUUCCAGCCAGCUUUGUGACUCUAACUGUUGGACGGAGAACUGAUAAGGGU